CUCAAACGUUCCCCCUAAUUGAUUUUUAUUUAUUGUUUAGGUCCUAGCUCGUGUGAAUUCCUCAAGGAGGCUCUCGUUGACCACCCAGUUGACAUUCCAUUUCACAAAGCAGAGCAGGCCUCGGCCCCGGCUGCAGCGGUGACAGUCUCGGUGGAAUUUAAUCAGAGCUGAUUUAAAGGUCAACCUUGAGCAAAUAAUAGUGCAGAAUCGACGAGUCUUCUGCCCCGGUCGUGGAAACCGUCCAGGAAUGAGUGAAACCUGGAAAACGAGCAGCAGCAGAGAGCGCGUUUCCCAAAGAGAAAGGUGCCUUGGCCUUGCUCCCCGGGCUGGGCCCCGCUGGGACGAAGCUGACAGCCUGGGAAUGUUCCCCCGCUGGGCCUGGCUGGAACGAAACCAGCCAUGUGACCCCGAGCUC